UACGUAGGGGGCGAGCGUUGUCCGGAUUUAUUGGGCGUAAAGAGCUCGUAGGCGGUUUGGCAAGUCGGGUGUGAAAACUCCGGCUCAACUCGGAGACGCCACUCGAUACUGCCAUGACUCGAGUCCGGUAGGGGAGUGCGGAAUUCCUGGUGUAGCGGUGAAAUGCGCAGAUAUCAGGAGGAACACCGGUGGCGAAGGCGGGUCUCUGGGCCGAUACUGACGCUGAGACGCGAAAGCGUGGGGAGCGAACAGG
rnacentral:rRNA from 1 species